UACGUAGGGUGCAAGCGUUGUCCGGAAUUAUUGGGCGUAAAGAGCUCGUAGGCGGUCUGUCGCGUCGGCUGUGAAAACUCGGGGCUCAACCCCGAGCCUGCAGUCGAUACGGGCAGACUAGAGUGCUGUAGUGGAGACUGGAAUUCCUGGUGUAGCGGUGAAAUGCGCAGAUAUCAGGAGGAACACCGGUGGCGAAGGCGGGUCUCUGGGCAGUAACUGACGCUGAGGAGCGAAAGCGUGGGGAGCGAACAGG
rnacentral:rRNA from 1 species